rnacentral:rRNA from 1 species
AUUGAACGCUGGCGGCAGGCCUAACACAUGCACGUCGAGCGAGCGGCGGACAGGUGAGUAUUGUACGGAGACUGCCCGAUAGCGGGGGAUAACUACUGUUAACGGUGGCUAAUACCGCAUACUAUCGAAUAACCCAUAUGGGAUUAGCUAGUAGGUGGGGUAAAGGCUACCCUAGGCGACGAUCUCUAGCUGGUCUGAGAGGAUGAUAAGCCACACUGCGACGGAGACACGGCCCCGACUCCUGCGGAGGCAGCAGUGGGGAAUAGUGCACAAUGGGCGCAAGCCUGAUGCUGCCAUGCCGAGUGUAUGAAGAGGGCCAUAGGGUUGUAAAGUACUUUCAGCGGGGAGGCGUUACCCGCAGAAGAAGGACCGGCUAACUCCGUGCCAGCAGCCGCGGUAAUUC